rnacentral:rRNA from 1 species
UACGUAGGGCGCAAGCGUUGUCCGGAAUUAUUGGGCGUAAAGAGCUCGUAGGCGGCUUGUCACGUCGGCUGUGAAAACCCGGGGCUCAACCCCGGGCCUGCAGUCGAUACGGGCAGGCUAGAGUUCGGUAGGGGAGACUGGAAUUCCCGGUGUAGCGGUGAAAAUGCGCAGAUAUCGGGAGGAACACCGGUGGCGAAGGCGGGGUCUCUGGGCCGAAACUGACGCUGAGGAGCGAAAGCGUGGGGAGCAAACAGG